GACGAACGCUGGCGGCGUGCUUAACACAUGCAAGUCGAGCGAGUGAGUUCUUCGGAACGAUCUAGCGGCGGACGGGUGAGUAACACGUGGGCAACCUGCCUCAUAGAGGGGAAUAGCCUCCCGAAAGGGAGAUUAAUACCGCAUAAAAUUAUCGAGUGGCAUCACACGAUAAUCAAAGGAGUAAUCCGCUAUGAGAUGGGCCCGCGGCGCAUUAGCUAGUUGGUGAGGUAACGGCUCACCAAGGCGACGAUGCGUAGCCGACCUGAGAGGGUGAUCGGCCACAUUGGGACUGAGACACGGCCCAGACUCCUACGGGAGGCAGCAGUGGGGAAUAUUGCACAAUGGGGGAAGCCCUGAUGCAGCAACGCCGCGUGAGUGAUGAAGGUCUUCGGAUUGUAAAGCUCUGUCUUUGGGGACGAUAAUGACGGUACCCAAGGAGGAAGCCACGACUAACUACGUGCCAGCCGCCGCGGUAA
rnacentral:rRNA from 1 species